CCUACGAGAGGCAGCAGUGAGGAAUAUUGGUCAAUGGGCGCGAGCCUGAACCAGCCAAGUAGCGUGAAGGAUGACUGCCCUACGGGUUGGAAACUUCUUUUAUAAAGGAAUAAAGUGAGGCACGUGGGCCUUUUUGUAUGUACUUUAUGAAUAAGGAUCGGCUAACUCCGUGCCAGCAGCCGCGGUACUACGGAGGACACGAGCGUUAUCCGGAUUUGUUGGGGUUAAAGGGAGCGUAGAUGGGUUGUAAAGUCCGUUGUGAAAGUUUGCGGCUCAACCGUAAAAUUGCAAUUGAUAAGGGCAGUCUUGAGUACAGUUGAGGUAGGCGGAAUUCGUGGUGUAGCGGUGAAAUGCUUAGAUAUCACGAAGAACUCCGAUUGCGAAGGCAGCUUACUAAACUGCCACUGACAUUGAUGCUCGAAAGUGUGGGUAUCAAACAGGAUUAGAUACCCGAGUAGUC
rnacentral:rRNA from 1 species